CUCCUACGGGACGCAGCAGUGGGGAAUAUUGCACAAUGGGGGGAACCCUGAUGCAGCGACGCCGCGUGAGUGAAGAAGUAUUUCGGUAUGUAAAGCUCUAUCAGCAGGGAAGAAAAUGACGGUACCUGACUAAGAAGCCCCGGCUAACUACGUGCCAGCAGCCGCGGUAAUACGGAGGAUGCGAGCGUUAUCCGGAUUUAUUGGGUUUAAAGGGUGCGUAGGCGGUCUGGAAAGUCAGCGGUAAAAGCCCGGGGCUCAACCCCGGCGAGCCGUUGAAACUGUCGGACUAGAGACGGCGAGAAGUA
rnacentral:rRNA from 1 species